UUUGUCCAGAAGCUAUUCUUAGAUAUUUUACAAUAAGAAAAGGAUUCCUCCAAAUUCUUAACUGCAGCACAUGAGAACAGUAAAUUAUAGCAGCACAUGUGACAUUUCAGCAUGUAACCUUUACUGCCCCAAUUUCAUCAAUCUUUUAGCUCGUGUGCUUGUUUCUCUUGUGUUUGUUAACAUCAUUAAGAUCCUCCUUGCCCUCAUGCUUUUUUCUCUUUUCAUGAUGUUUCUUUGAAAGGUCAGCACCAGAAUCAUGACGGCCAGUUUUAUCUUUCUUUUUCUCUUUAUCCUUGUCUUUACUUCGA
rnacentral:misc_RNA from 1 species